CGCGGGGCCUGGGCGACCAGGUGAGGCUGCACGGGGCGGCGGGGGCGGGCGGAGGCUGGGGGAAGCCCCCAGCUUGGACCCCUUUUGGCCGGGCCCCCUCUCACUGCACCUAGGUAAACUGAGGCUCGGAGCGGGGAGGUGCCCAGCGCCGGGCUCCCCAGCUAGCAGACAACGAGCCCUGGUCAAGGGGUCGAGUCUGUCCUGGGAGUGCAGGGCCUAGGACAGCCGAGGGGACCUGCAGGAGGCGGGGAGGUGGCUGGAGAGGAGCGCCGGAGCGAGCAGGUGGAGGGAGAUGCGAGAGCCUGGCGCGGCGAAGUCAUUUGCGCGGUGGCGCUGUCAGGAGCUCCCAGGGCGCAGCGCAGCUCGGGGCGCGGGGGGCCAAGGAGGGCGUCUCCAGCGCGGCGCGGCCCAGGGUGCGAGCCUGCUGGGUCGUGGGAACGAGGCGAGGAGCCGUGCCAGGGACCCGGGGCUUUGCUGGGGGCGGAGAGCGCAGAGUUCUCCAGCGCCUCCUGGCGGCGCACCCUGGCUGUGCAGCCACCUGGGUGUCUCCCUGCCUCCCGCAGGUGCGCCCAGCGCGCUCCACGCGCUCCUCGCGUGUAGGGAAGCGAAUGAGGGUCCUUUCCUGCUACCUGCGGCAGAAAGAUCAGAUUCUCUCCAUUCUGCAGAUCGCGGCACUCCCCAGCUCGCAGCCCCGCACCCCGCACCCCGCCGGCGCAGCCCUCCAAGCCCCCCAGCCUCUAGUUCUUCAAACGCGAGCUCAGAGGGAGCCAGCUGUACACCCCCACGGCCUUGGCUUCCCACGGGGAGAUGCCAGACCUGGGAGCGAGGGGCUCUCCCUGCAAGAAGACCUGGUACCUGUGACGGUACACAUGUCGCAAACUCAGCUGCCUGCCCUGGCCUCUGGCAGAGGUCUUUGCCCCACCCCCACCCUAGCUGUGGGAUCUGCCCUAAGGGGCUGCCGGGGCAGGAGAGAUGGGGUCCCGGGAGGGGCGCGAAUGCCCCAGGUGGACUGCUGUGAUUGCCUCCCAGGGAGAAAGCAGGGAAUAGAGGCAAAUUCUCCCGCACCCUGUAGAGGCGGUGCCUGCAAACUCCUGCCGGGCUCUGGGCUCUUCCCUUUCUGUGUCCAGCUCCCCCAACCACGCUUGCUUUUGCGCCUGUGGCUGCUGCCUGGGCCUAAGAAGCCUCUUGUGCCCUCCCCUUCCUCUGCACCUGGCCACUGGCCUGCCUCCUCCAGGAAGCCUUCCCCUAUCCUCCCCGUUCCCGAGUGGAAAUUCACCAGGAAACUCCAGGACCCUUGCACCUCCUGCUCUAAGGAGCAGGGGAGAGGCCGGGCCUCCCGCGGCUGCUGGCCUGCUUCUCUUGGGGUCCCUGGAGCCAGAGAAAGGACCGAGAUGCCGCCUCCUCCCGAGGCCCUGCUCAGGACCACAUCCAGGACCCUGAGGAGGAGCUGGCCCUGACAGCCGUGUUUCCCAACGGAGCCUGUGAGGACCUCACCAGUGGGUUAAAAGCCUGUGAUGGAGUCGUCCACACUCGCGCUGAGCCCACCGGAGACUCGAGAUAAAGACUGGACUGUAGGGCUGACCUUGGCCCUGACCUACGGGCUGGGCCCUGGUUCCUCUCACUGAGCCUGCAUCUUACUGUUGACCACAGGUGGCGACUGCAAAGACCCCUCCAGCCAGGGGCUGCCAUGUUCACCGUCACCAUUCAGGCCGCAGGACUCAGCCGACCUAAGAGAAGUCUCUUCCCCACUUAGCAUUGGCUCCCUUGCUGGUCGCAGUGCGGUCGGUUUGUCUCUCUGUGCCUCAGUUUCUCUAAGCCAGUGAGACAGACGGCCCCUCGGGGCUCCGCCAUGCUGUGGCCUCCUGGGUAUGUUUGCGGUGCUCUGGGCAUGUGCCCCAGAGUGCAGCUGGCAGGGUCCCUGAACCACAAGUCAUCAGUUCGGAGGUCGUGACCUUGGACAUGUUGUCGCUCCGUCUGAGCCUCCUGCUUCCCCAGUGCACAGGGGAGCUGCCAGCUCUGUCGCUUUCUCCGACCACAG
rnacentral:lncRNA from 1 species